UAGCAAAUCCUGCUGAGGAAAUCUCUGCUCUGGAGAAUUUACACUUCCAAAUCUAGGCAAUGCAUGGGAGGGGAAUAAACAGAAGGUACUAAUGAAACACCCACUAGAAGACUGCUUCUCGAUGCACCAGAACUCACCCAUGGCAGCCAAGCUGAAGCCCAGCUGGUUUGAAAGAGGAAAGGACCUCCAGUAGGGUACACUCCAGAGGGCUCAGCAUGCAAUAAUUCUUGUUAUCCUGGCUGAAUGCUGCUUGAACCUGAUCAUCUUCAGGGCCUGUUGCAUUUGAAACUAGAAAAGGAUGAAAUCAAGAGCUCUCACCUCCUCAAGUGUUUUGGGGCCACCAGAUGAAAACAGUGACACAGAAAUGUAAAGGAGCUUGUCUUCUACUGAUAACAUCCACAAUUCAAAAUUCCACCUGGGAAGAGGCAUCUAAAACCAAUAAACUGGAUGAACACCUGUAUUUUGGCUGCUGUGACCUUGACCAGUAAGAUACUUGCAUAAAUGUGA